AGGUCUGUGUAAUUGGUGCAUGGA
rnacentral:siRNA from 1 species